rnacentral:ncRNA from 1 species
UCUUAUCAAGAGUGGUGGAGGGACUGGCCCGUUGAAACCCAGCAACCUGUCGAUAGUGACAAGUUGCAAGUGAUAAGUGACAAGUUAUUAAUAUUAAUUUGCCACCUAUCAUUUGUUACUUAUUACUAGUUGAACGUGGUGCUAAUUCCACAGCUUUAAGCUGAUAGAUAAGG